rnacentral:lncRNA from 1 species
GGCAAAAGCGGGGAGCAGUUGGCGUGAUCUCCUCAAAACGCCCAUCUUGAGAUCAUGUUCAUCGCCCUCGUAGCUGUUGCCAUGACAGACAAAUAAAUCUGAUGAGAUAAGUUUUCUCAUCUACUUAGUUAAUUGUUUACGUCAUAUAUCACCGCUUUAUACUUUGUGAUAGAACAAAAUCUUCACUUAAUAUUUUGUUAGUAAGGUUGAUACUAAACCUGAUCUCCCAUAUUAAUAAUUUAUAUGCUUGCUUGUGUCUUAAGACACACAAUUUUCAAUACGAGAUCAAAUUAAUUAAGUUUAAUUUUCUUUGUAUAGUAGAAUGAAGUGCUUUUGUACGUGGAGCAAAUACAGGAGGUCACAACUUUUCUUGUAUCCUGUCUCAGCAUGAACAAAUUCAUAUUGUCAUCGCACAGACGAGAUACGAGCACUCUUCUCUUACACAAGCGAAGUGGAGAAGAUGAAGAAUAUGAGACCUUCUUUGCAACUGGCGCCAACUAGAUCACAGUUCUCACAACUCUUGGCGACUUGCCAAUCACGAGCUCGCACUCAUCACACCAGUGAGACCACGGCAGUCUAGUUUCGAUCUCAGCAAACAUCUUCUAUGCCGACUACACCAGUCAUGGUGGCAACGCGCGGAUCAACAAAACAACUUGUUCCGCACACACGAUCUCAACACGAGACUUCGGGUUCGGUAAACUGGUACCUUAGGCACGAAUUUAAAUUGAACUUGCUUGUUAUUAGGCACAAAUUUGCAAUCGACUCGCUUAUCGUUAGACACGAGUUUACAAAAACUCGUCUUUGGCUAGGCAUGAGUUUAUAGAGACUCUCCUUCUACUAGGCACGAGCUCUCAAUAAACUUGCCUCCGUCUCAGCAUGAGUUUAGUAAGCUCGUCUUUCGCUAAGCACGAGUUUAAAGCAAAUUUGCUUUUUAUUAAGCACAAGUUCAAAGUAAACUCGCCUAAAUCAUCAUAGGCAGGAAUGUGUCUAAUUAAUUGUCUAAUAAACCCUAUUCGUAAAAUUCAUAGAGAUCGACGUCAUCUCUCUCUACGAACUUGGGGGGCUUACUGUUGGGGGUGGAUUUACAUCCUCCCUCAAGGCCCAUUAGACACUUAAUUAGGUCCACUUCCUUAUGAAACCAUAGCCAUCUUUAUUCUAUAAAUAAGGAACUAUCUCCUUAUUAAAGGGGGUUCCUCUCCAUUUUACACUAAGAACACAUCUUGUAAAGAGUUUAUGGAUUAUUAGAUUUACUUUACACUAGUAAUCAUACUUGUAAUACAAUCUUUGAUCAAUAAACUCUUUUAUGUUCAUUUCCCAUUUAAUUUCAUCUAAAGAUUUCUCCUAAACCUCAAGAAUCUAAUUCUCAUUCUUAGAUUCUUUUAUUGUAUUGAUUCAACCAAAACCACCAGCAUAAACACCAUUUUUGGAUCAAACAAGGAAGAAAGAAACAUAUGUGAGAUUAGAUGGCGAAUGAAUGCAUAUCUGUUUCGAGCUUUGCCGACAUGAGUUUCUAUGGAGAAUGGGUAGGAUUUAGGAUGAUGGUUUUCAGAAACCCAAAAACAAAGAUGAAGAGACAGAAGUAGCUUCAUAACCAUAACCGGCAAUAGCUGAGUAAUGAACAUGACUAGUUCAGACGCUUAGGUUUGUCAAUGGUGUGUUUUAAGGACAAACCCAAAAGCUAACUUUGUGGCACUGCGUUCAGUAUUAUUUUAAAUUCAUCGAACUGGCUAUGAAUUAUAUAGUAAUCUGCACCAGGCUGGUUCUUAUUGUACCGUUUAUAACUUGGCUACAAAAGAAGAGAUAAUCAU